rnacentral:rRNA from 1 species
CGCGCAGGUGGUGCGGUAAGUCCUGUGUGAAAUCUCCCGGCUCAACUGGGAGGGUGCGGAGGAGACUGCCGGACUAGAGGCACUCAGAGGCCGGUGGAAUUCCCGGUGUAGUGGUGAAAUGCGUAGAGAUCGGGAGGAACACCAGUGGCGAAGGCGGCCGGCUGGGGGUGACCUGACGCUGAGGCGCGAGAGCGUGGGGAGCGAACCGGAUUAGAUACCCGGGUAGUCCACGCUGUAAACGAUGGCCACUAGAUGUGGGGGGUAUCGACCCCCUCCGUGUCGGCGCUAACGCAGUAAGUGGCCCGCCUGGGGAGUACGGCCGCAAGGCUAAA